rnacentral:rRNA from 1 species
AAUCCCGAAAACCCCUCUCAGUUCGGACUGGAGUCUGCAACCCGACUCCACGAAGCUGGAUUCGCUAGUAAUCGCGCAUCAGCCACGGCGCGGUGAAUACGUUCCCGGGCCUUGUACACACCGCCCGUCAAGCCAUGGGAGCCGGGGGUACCUGAAGUGCGUCACCGCGAGGAGCGCCCUAGGGUAAAACUGGUGACUGGGGCUAAGUCGUAACAAGG